rnacentral:rRNA from 1 species
GACGAACGCUGGCGGCGUGCUUAACACAUGCAAGUCGAACGGAAAGGCCCUGCUUGCAGGGUACUCGAGUGGCGAACGGGUGAGUAACACGUGGGUGAUCUGCCCUGCACUUCGGGAUAAGCCUGGGAAACUGGGUCUAAUACCGGAUAGGAGCCACUUUUAGUGUGAUGGUUGGAAAGUUUUUUCGGGGUAGGAUGAGCUCGCGGCCUAUCAGCUUGUUGGUGGGGUAAUGGCCUACCAAGGCGGCGACGGGUAGCCGGCCUGUGAGGGUGGACGGCCACAUUGGGUCUGAGGUACGGCCCAGACGCCUACGGGAGGCAGCAGUGGGGAAUAUUGCACAAGGGGCGCAAGCCUGAUGCAGCGACGCCGCGUGGGGGAUGACGGCCUUCGGGUUGUAAACUCCUUUCGCUAGGGACGAAGCUUUUUGUGACGGUACCUAGAGAAGAAGCACCGGCUAACUACGUG